ensembl:snoRNA small nucleolar RNA SNORA2/SNORA34 family
CUGGCCCUGAAUCAAGGCCAGCAGCUGAUGCUGUAGAUUUCAAGCAGGAGCCUAAAGAGAUGUCUUUCUGUGGUCUGUUGACAUUUCAUAACUUGGACAGUUAAAUGGUCAAUUCAUUAGAAAGAAACAGCU